GUGAGUCAUCGAAUCUUUGAACGCAUAUUGCGCUCGAGACUUCGGUCGAGAGCAUGCCUGUCUCAGCGUCGGCUCACCCCUCGCCCACCCUUUCCCCUGUGGGAAAGGUGCCUGGACGGACGUGGCCGUCUCGCUCCCAGCUACAUGGGAGCGGGUCGGCUGAAGUGCAGGGCCCGCGGCGCGACCCGGACGAGAGGGCGCCAGCAUGGUAGGUGGCUCAACGCUGCAUGCCGCUGUCGCCUUUCAUCUCGGCCCGAACAAGGUCGCAUCAACCGUCCGCUCGGCCACCAAGCAGGAACA
rnacentral:misc_RNA from 1 species